rnacentral:lncRNA from 1 species
CCUUCUUCUUCUUUUUCUUUUCUUCUUCCCGUGGGCUUGUUUUGGGCUGAAACAGGGGACCUUGAGGUCCCCUCGUUGGGUGGCCGAUCGACGGCGCAGCCAGCGUGGGGCGGCCAUCGGUAGGAGGGGGUGACUCGCCGAUAAGAAGAGGGCCAAACCGGUGGUCGGCGGUGACCACCGGCGACGGCAAAACGGCAAAAAAAGAAAAUUCUUCCGCAACAAAAUCCGGCGACUCCGAUCGCCGGCGAGCGUGCACAUCGACACGGGAAGGAAGGG